GGAAUACCUACAUUAUGAGAAUAUGGAAAGAAAAUACUUACAUUUUAUACACAUAAUACAAGAAUGUAUUGGAAAUAUUGGAAUAUUAAGAGAAUGGCUGUCUAAAGCUCUAUUAAAUCAAGAUGGUUAACACACUUUAAUAAAAUUACAAAGAAAAUGUUGAUUUAAUAUGAAGACACAAGAAUAUUAGAAUUAAAAUAUAAUAAUUUGAAUACAUUAUGAGAACAUGGAAAGAAACUUACAUUUUAUAUACAUAAUUAUAUUAUGAGAAUGGCUGUCUGAACAGUAUUGUCCUAAUAAAUCAAAAUGUUUAACACACUGUUGUUAUUAUAAUAAAUGAUGAUUUAAAUAUAAAAAUACAAGAAUAUUAUAUAUAAAAUAGAAGAAUUGGAAUAUAUUUUGAUACUAAGAUACCUGCAUUAUAAAUAUAUUAUGAGAAUGGAUGACCGAACAGUAUUGUUCCGAUAAAUGAAGUUGAAUGGUAUGCUGAAGUGCAAGCGGUGCUCACACAAGGAUGUGAUUGGUAUGCCGAAGCACAAGCGGUACUCACUGAAUGAUAAUACACACACUUUAAUAUUGUUAUAAUAAAAGGUGAAUGGUAUGCCGAAGUGCAAGCGGUGCUCACACAGGGUUGUGAAUGGUAUGCCGAAGCACAAGCGGUGCUCACCUAAUGAUAAUUAGUAUAUAGUGGCUGGUAUGCCGAAGUGCAAGCGGUGCUCACACUGGGUUGUGAAUGGUAUGCCGAAGCACAAGCGGUACCCACUAUACUAUUUAUCUGAUAAAGAAUUCUGAGGAACAAUGAACAUACAGUGUAGCCGACCAAAAAUUCACCUAGCAACGUUGCAGCGUAGCAGACCAGCGUCAGACCAGCAUUAAGUACAUCAAUAAGAACAGCCGGAAUAUGGUUUACUAAUUACUUAUAGUCUCUUUGAGUUUUGUUUUAAUUAUGAUUGCUAAGUGCAUUUAAUAUCACCGCAUAGAUAUAAUAACUUUAUUAAUUUUGCUAAUUCAUUCAGUUUGUUAACAUAAAUUUAGAACUUGUUAGUUAGCGUUCGAAUGGCCGACAGGGAAUGGGGACAUUCCCAAUAACAGGACGGCCGACUGUUAGCGUUUAAAUUUACCAAUGCUAUUCUUUACUAAUAUCAAGCUACUUAUUUCAUCAUAGGUCCGGCCGGAUUACUAGAUGUAGCUAGGAGUUGUUCUUUAGUUCAUUUAGUUUCUAUAUUGUCUGUGAUUCGCAUUGACUGGCCGGUCACUGGAUUCAUGCGGAUUCAUUCAAUUCAAGAUGGCAGAAAAAACAAGAAUAACUUUUAAAAGACUUCUGUUUGUUAUUAGAUUCCUUUUUGAAUAGUUUGUGUUCCUUAUAAAAGUAUUUUACUUCAAA